UCCCCGGUGGCGCAAUUGGCUAGCGCGUUCGACUGUUAUAUGUGAGCAAACACAUUCGCAAUCGAGAGGUUGAAAGUUCAAGCCUUUCCCGGGGAG